rnacentral:lncRNA from 10 species
GCAAGGUCCCCUCAGAAUUGGCCUGGGGGGUUCUAGUGAGAUUUCUUCCCAUGCGGAGACUAAGACCACAGGUCACCCUCAGCUCCUACUCACCCUCAGUCCAACCCAGAACACCCCACCGUUGGCCCCAUCUCUGAGCUUUGGGCACUCCAGAGAACAAUGUAUUGGCUUCCUCAGUGAUGUGGCUUCUUCCACGGGAGAGCACUGAACUGUGAGCCACAGUGGCCCCAUCUGGUGGCUGUCCUGCCUACUUCCCAGCCUCGUGAUCUUGGGCAAGUCAAUUCCCAUCUCUGAGCCUCAAUUUCCUCAUCCCUCUCCUGGGCUGUGGUGGAGAUGACAGGGUCCAGUGGUCAGGAAGCAGGCUGACGGCUGCAAAAUGUGAGUGUGUGUGCACGUGAGCACUUGGGUGGGGGGGCCAGAGUGGGGAGAGGGAGGCAUAUGGGUCUCCCACUUUGGGAGACUCCCGCCCUAUGGAUUUUCCACUGGCAUGUCGGCACCCUCUCCCCUAAAAUAGGCUCUACGAGCCGUGUGCGACAGAGCCCAGACUGAGGGGCCUUUUUUUAGCUGGCCUUUGAUUGUCAGCUCUCGAGCAGCUGCUAUUUUGAGCCCCAACGCCUAGAGGAGUAGGGCCAAGUGGGGGCUGAGGUUAGCUCAGUGGGCCUGGCUGGCUCCCCGAAGGCAUCCCCAAGGGGGCUGGCCAUCCCAUCUCACACCCUGCAUUGCUGGCAAGGAGAGCACGACAUCUCCUAUAGAUGGGGCCUAAGGGCUCCUCUGUCUACCUCUGCGGAAGCUGCAGACCUGGCAGAAAACAACCACAUUUACAGAGCACACCCCACAGGCCACUGCCCACCCACCCCCACCCAGAGAAGAGCAUGCUGUGGGGAUUAACUGAGAUAAUACAAGCAAAGCCCUUACUUAGCACAGAGGCUGGCACAUAAUUGGCUCUCAAAAAAUGGAACAGCUUCUGUUAUUAUUGUCAUUACAGCUGCAGUCAUUCUUGGUUUUGUUGUUAUAGUUAUGUUUUUACCAGAUUUCUUUCCAGUCUUUUUUCUAUGCAUUUAUUUUAUGUUACUGGGUUCGGGACAUGACCCUUCCCACCCCAUCCCCAUACAUGUGUACACGCCUAGUUUCAGCAGAAAGCAGCCCCUCUCAGUCUGCUGGGGUGCCCUCUAUGUCUCUGUGCUCCACUCCAUACAGGAAUCCCCCCUUCUAUAUAAGGCUUUUGGGGUUGACCCUCGAGAUGGCACUUGACCUUUCAGAGUGGAUGUAGUUGUGCCCACAGCUUCUGUGAUUUCUUCAAAUGCCAUCAGCCACUGCCCCAUAGGAUUCCAGGCCCCCAAUUCUGAAUGUCCAGUUCUAGAUGCUAGAUCCCUGGCUGGCCACUGUACCUGGGUUCUAGAGCCCUCUGACUGGAACCUGAGGAAAUGGGCUUGGUCCACAGCUAGAUGUGAGAAAGUGGCAUUGCCACUGCAUAAGGCGUGGCAAUGGAUCCUAAGGACAAAUGUAGAUGCUCUGGGACUCUGGUUAUGGGGUGUGUGUGUGUGUGUGUGUGUGUGUGUGUGUGUGUGCAGGGGUAUGGGCUGCUGAGAAGAGGGGGAUGAGGGUAGGAAGCCAAGUUCUGGGAAGUGGCUGGGGCAGGCCCUCCCCUUCCCUAUUGGGGUCACUUCCCAGCAGGGCAGCAAGAUCAGCUGGGGUUGGGGGGUCAUAUGUUCCAUCCUUGUCCCAAACAGUUACUGCACAAGGUGAGACUUCCUUGUUACCCGAAGGACAAAAAUAGGUCCCAGGUGAUGGGCCACGAUCCAUGCCCAGAACCACAAGGGUUAUUCUGAGUGGCAGGCACAGGGCCAGGCCUGGCCUCAGUCAGGUGGACCUGAGCUGGCAGUGGCAUCCUCAGCCUGCGGGCUUGCUCUGUCCAUUCAGGGACCCUAAAUGUAGGUCGGGGGCUGGAACUGCGUGCAGGCUGACGCUCGAUCGGUAGGGGCUUGAGUCCCAACUCCGCUAUGUGACCUUGGGUAAGCCACUUGGCAUCUCCGAGCAUCUACCUCCUUCCCAAAUGAUGGGAACCCUGAUCCCUGCCUCUCAGGGUGGGUGAGAGAAUUUAGUGAGGCUGACAGAUGGCACUCAAUAGAUGCACAAAUCCCUGCUCAUCUGUCCUGGAGUCUAGGCCCAGGGGUCCAGAGAGGGUAAGGGCCUUGCCUGAAUUGCCUAGCAGCAGAAAGGUCCCUUCUCCUCCAACUCUGAAGAAGCAAGAGCCAGGCACAAGAGCACAUUUCUGGGAGGGCAUAUAGGGAUUUUCCAGGAACAGCUCCAUCCAACUGGAGAAUUCCAUUCCCAGCCCUGCUGCCCAGGGCCCAGGCUAAGGAGGAGACACUCCAGCUCACUCUGGUUCUGUCCAGUUCCUGCUCCUCGCCGGCAGAGCCCAGGCAGAGUGCCCCACACCCUGUUCUCUUGCUGUUUGCUGUGGGGUUUGAGGGGCCUGAGGCUCCUAGGUGCCCCCCUCGAGGCCCUGGCACAGAACAGCUGGUCUGAGCACACAGUUGGUCCUCUCCCAACCCCUGAUCCCUUCCAGGAGCCCACUGUUUCCUUCAUCCAGCAUGUCCUAGAAUUUUCCCUGGACCCAGCUCCUGCCCUCAGGCUCACCCCAGAUGAACAUAGACAAGCUGACAUGAUGGACGCUGACUUGGGGACAGAUGGCACCUGACCCAGCUCCAGGGUGGGGGUUGACAAAGGCAGCUGGAGAGGGGAAAGGUGGUCAGGUUGGGACAACUGUCUGGGCAAAGGCUCAGAGGUGUGGCUGUGCUCAGGGGAUUGGGACACACUGCAAAGUUUCCUUAAGGCUGGAAGUCGCCUGAUAGGCACCGGGGGGUGGGAGAGUGGGGGCGUGGGAGGUAGGGGGCAGGCAGAGGGUUGAACAGAAUAUUUAUUUGCUGAGCUGGAAUUGAGCCCUAGUCCCUUUCCCAACACAGACUUAUCUCUUCCCCCCACAACCAUCCUCACCAGAAUUUUGGCCAGAAACAAGAGGAGUCCUGUCCGAGGAGAGCCCGGCUGGCUGACUGGAAUCCCAAGACAUGCCAAGGUGUCCCUGGGAAAUGACAGGACACCCAGAUCUGCUGGGAGCAGAGUUCUCAUAGGGUCCCAGCUGAGCCCUGGAACUCCCCAGACCCCCUCUGCCACUCCAUCUCUGCGUCAGCCCAGCACCUGUGCCCUAUCCGGCUUUGGCCACCAUCUCCACCCUGGGGAGGGGGAGCAUAACCCCCUCCAGCCUGAGGUUGGCGCCAAGGUUUAGGAGCCAGCACAGAAGCCUCUGAGAGCCAUAAGGGUAGAAAAGGUUACCCGGUACUAAACCAGCCAGCCUCGGGGUGAUCUCAUCCACUUCCCAAGAUAAGCCCCCUCCCCCACCCUCUGGCCACUGGCCAACAGGAGACAGGUCUCUAUUGCUCAGGCUGGAGUGCAGUGGCAUGAUCAUAGCUCACUGUAACCUCAAACUCCUGGGUUCAAGCGAUCCUUCUGCCUCAGCCUCCCAAGUGGCUGGAACUACAGGGGUGUGCGACCACUCCUGGCUCAUUUUGUUCAACAUUAUUUUGUUACAACAUUGAUGAAGAAAAAAAUCUAUUUCUGGCUGGGGCUACUGUCUGUGUGGAGUCUGUAGAGGACUUUCUCUGGGUACUCUGGUUUCUUCCCCCAUCCCAAAGAUGUGCAUGUUAGAUUAACUAGCUUGUCUGCAUGCUCCCAGUCUGCAUGAGUGUGAGUGUACUCAAGGCAAUGGCAUCCUGUCUAGGCCUGGUUCCCGCCUGGCGCCCUGAGCUGCUGGGAUAGGCUCCAGCCAUCCAUGACCUUGAACUGGAAUAACUGGAUAAAUAAUUCUAUUACUUGUUUUUAUUAAUCUUUCUUUCUUUCUUUUUUUUUUUUUUUUUUGAGAUGGAGUUUCACUCUUGUUGCCCACGCUGGAGUGCAAUGACACAAUCUUGGCUCACUGCAACCUCCGCCUCCUGGAUUCAAGAAAUUCUCCUGCCUCAGCCUCCUGAGCAGCUGGGAUUACAGGUGCCCACCACCAAGCCCGGCUAAUUUUUGUAUUUUUAGGAGAGACAGGGUUUCGCCAUGUUGGCCAGGCUGGUCUCAAAUCCCUGACCUCAGGUGAUCCACCUUCCCCAGCCUCCCAAAGUGCUGGGAUUACAGGUGUGAGCCACCACACCUGGCCUUGUUUCUAUUAGUCUUUCUUACACGUGUUUCAAUGUUUAAUAUGAGAAGCAUUUGGGUCUUUAUUUAGAAGUCUGAUGAUAUUUCUAUCACCAGAAAUAUGCUGUAGGAACUUAACUCUUGUUUAUGUCAAUUAGCCUAUGACAAAAUUGGUUUCCUUGUAUGUCAUUUUGCUUAAAGCUGCAAUUUCCAAGAACUACAUUAAGUGAGGACAUUAUAUAAAGACUUACUAUAUUCUAUUAGUUGUUGUCAGGCCUCUGAGCUCAAGCUAAGCCAUCAUAUCCCUUGUGACCUGCACCUAUACAUCCAGAUGGCCUGGAGCAACUGAAGAUCCAC